rnacentral:sRNA from 1 species
UCGGUUUGGAACACAGACCUUAUGAAAGCAGUUUUAGUAAAGCAGUCCUCAGUUCAAGCGUUAUCUUAGAUAUCCCUUCUCCGUGAGUCUCCUCCUAAGUGCCUAAGUAAGUCAUCUUCUGAAAACAGACCCCAUUCGCUGCAUCGUUAUUUUGAUAAUUUUGUGGCAAAAAAAUAAUUGAAGGAAGUAUAUCUAUGUCUAAUAAAAUGACUGGUUUAGUAAAAUGGUUUGACGCUGGUAAAGGUUUCGGUUUCAUCUCUCCAACUGAUGGCAGCAAAGACGUGUUCGUUCACUUCUCUGCUAUCCAGAGCAAUGAUUUCAAAACCUUAGAUGAAGGCCAAAAAGUAGAGUUCUCUAUCGAGAACGGUGCUAAAGGUCCAUCAGCGGUAAACGUUGUCGCGCUGUAAUCCAG